rnacentral:rRNA from 1 species
GACGAACGCUGGCGGCGUGCUUAACACAUGCAAGUCGAACGCUGAAGCUCCCAGCUUGCUGGGGGUGGAUGAGUGGCGAACGGGUGAGUAACACGUGAGUAACCUGCCCCGAACUCUGGGAUAAGCGCUGGAAACGGCGUCUAAUACUGGAUAUGUCCUAUCACCGCAUGGUGUGUAGGUGGAAAGAAUUUUGGUUCGGGAUGGACUCGCGGCCUAUCAGCUAGAUGGUGAGGUAAUGGCUCACCAUGGCGACGACGGGUAGCCGGCCUGAGAGGGUGACCGGCCACACUGGGACUGAGACACGGCCCAGACUCCUACGGGAGGCUG